UCGCCUGGGGCUGGAGGAGCUGGACACCCACGACAUCCAUGACACGGGGCUUUGCCUGCAUGUCCAUCACCUCAGCUGGGAGGCUGGGAAUGGCUGCAGACUGGAUGCACCUCUCUGCUCGUGCUUUCAUCUCCUUUUCCACAUGGCCCCUCAUCCUCCAGGAGGCUAGCCCAGGCUUCAUGGCCUCCCAGGACAGCAGGACAGUGAAAGUGGAUGUUGCAAGGCUCUUCAUGCCCAGGACUAGAAUUUUUGUCACAUUCUACUGGGCCAAGCAAGUCAUAAGACCAGCCCAGACGUAAUGUGGAAAGGGACCACACAGAAGUGAAUUUAGGAGUGUGAUUCAUUAGGAACUAUUUUGCAGCAGUCUUUCAAGAUCACUAAUAUCUAUUUUUCUAUAGUCCAGUUCACAGAGGACAUUUGCUUGCACUGUCUUAUUCGAUCCUUACAACUAAGUUGAGAUAUGGUCAAGGAUAUAACAAAAAUUAACCAACAAAAAGCCUGAAUUUAUAACAUUUGCCACUUUCCAUGGUGUGACUACUCCUACUGUGGCUCAUCUGAAGUGACCAACAUGAGAUCACUGCAUGCCAAGGUGAGAGGAGAUGCAGUCCAUAGCUGGCCCCGGCACACCACCGUACGCGGUGGGGAUGAUCUCCAGUCAGAUACUGAAGAGAUACGGGACUUUCUCAUGAUCACGCACAGCCAACAGUGGAAGAUCUGGAACUCAACCCAGAUGCAAAUUGUAUGCUUUGGUUAUGACACCACCCUGCCCCACAGCAAUUUUCUUCAGACAUCUGAAGGGCUUCUGUGGAGAACAGCUGCAGUCUAGGGUGCCCCAGAAGACAACAUAAGAGUCAAUGCGGAAUCACUUGAUGUCCUUUUGAGACCAAAGAAGGCAAGAGAAGGGAAGAGAAGAGGAGAGAAUAAAGAGAAAGAGAAGAUCCAACAAGAAUGUAGCUGUUGCCUUCCUUUCAGAAGGGAUUUCAGUUGACUACCCUGGAGAGAGGUGAACCGGAGGGGUGGGGGUCCGCCCCGCCCAGCAGUCUCAGGGAUCUGGGCAGCCCCGCGCCCAUGCUGACGUCCGGGAGGUGCAUGGGCUGGGGCUGUCAGGCCGGCUUCUCUCAGGAGGACUCCCAGACAAACUCCACUUUACAAGACCAGCUCUAGCCAGAAGCACGCCCAGAAGUGCUGGAGAACAGAAACCGCAGCUGUGUGGAUUGUAAGCCAGGAUUACAGUUGGUGUGAUUCACUCACCAAGAGGCCCAGCUAUUAAUCUCCCCUCAGAGACCAUGGCUGCCUCUCAGGAAGCAUGAGAGGGUGCAACCUGAAAGGAUAAGGCAUCCAUUCAUUCUUAGGAAAACGCAAGAACUAUCCUAGGCUUUGGGAAGGCUGCAUGCCUAGGACCAGAAGUUUGGCAUGCCUGGAAAGCCUGUGACUUGCUUAGUUUGCAUUCCUCUGCUGUGCUGAUGUCCAGGCCCUCAGUUCCCCAGAGGGAAUGAACAAGGACACUUUUUGAAGACUUUCUGCAAAGACCUCACUGGAAACCUUGCUUUGCCAGGGGCCAGGUUUGCCAGACAAUCGUCAGGCAACAGUUGGCCAUCCUUGAGGAAGAUGUGAACAAGAAGCCAUUCGAAAGCAUAAUCUUCUAGAAACUAAAUUUCAAAACAAGCAGGAAACCACAGCUCAGGCAUGAGCUGUGUUCAGCAACCUGGGUUCACACAAAGACAGACAAGAAUAGGCUUUGCACAAUCCUAUCACCUCCCAUUUAUGAUUUCUAAGCAGUUUAUUCAUCCUGAUUGCAUUGGGGAAAGAUUAUCCUGGUGGAAUGCUGAGCACCAAGGACAAGGCACAGGAUGAUUUGAUUGAGAUCAAGUCAGCAUUGGGUUGCUAUUUUUGACUCCCAAUUACAUUCUCUGCCCUUUUAUCUGUGCAAAUGUAAGCUGGAACACACCUGAGACAGCACAGAAAAUGCAGAGCUUCAAUCUUUUCCUUUGUCUCUGAAGGAGCCAUGCAUUCAGAGGUGUGCCGGGGCUGGGGGCUUGGGGCAGAGUCUGGAAACAUAUCAAAAUAAUAGUGAUUAUUUCUGAUAAUAGGAUUACAGGUGGCUUUUUAAAAAAUUGACUCCUUUCUGCAGUUUAUGUUUUUCUACAAUAAGUAUGUAUUUCUUGAAUUCAAAAAUGUUUUUCUAAGUAGCCUGCAGGAAUUGGGUAGUUCUCCUCUGAAGUUGAAGGCUGGCCUUGCUCUCUCUGGGUAUAAGUGCAUUGGGUGCAAAGGAAACCCAGGUCCCUUGGAUUCUGUACUGGUCAGGAGAUAAAACUCCACCAUUCAUAAGGUCAAAUAUCUAUCUGAUGUUCUCCACUGGGAGCAGCUCUCAAGUUACUCAGGUAGCUUCCAGUCUCAGUUCCACCAACAAACUGCCCUGGCUUGGAAGAAAGAAGCGUUUUUUCAUCACAGUGUUCUCCAGGCCUUCCUUGGAGAGUUGAUGGGCCUCAGAACUCUAUCCUUUUUGAGUCCUAAUUUGGAUGAUUUUGGAAAACUGUGGCCACAGAUCUCCCUCCUCCAAGACUAGCUGAGUGAUACAGAUGGUGCCCGUGCUGCAGACAGCAGGGCAGGAAAUUACACCCUAACUAUAGGUCUUCAUUCAGAAACCCAACAGCCUCACCAGAAAAUAAACUUGAGAGCCCUGAAGCAUCAGAACACUGACCUACAAGAUCAAAGAGCAAUAUUGAAAUCUCUCCAAGUGAACUUUGAACAAAAAACAAUCCUGCAGGGUUUUGUUUUGGCCUUCCAACCAUGUGAUCAGGCCAGACUUAAGCCUGAUAGUUCUUCCAAAUUACUCCCUGCCCUUUUCAAUAGACCCUUGCACAGAGAGAAGCAGCCACUAAGGUUUCCUGUUGAGGAGAAUUCUUCGUGUUCUGUGAGGGGACCAUGUAUUUAACAGAACUCAUGUGUAAGUUUUGCAUGUAGUAGGACAAAGCUACUUUAGUCGAACUUCAAGUGUUUUUGGCAAAGCACAUGUCCCCAAGAUGAAAACACAUAAGGAAGGAGCUUAUAUUUGACAUGAGCUCCUGAUGUAUUACAUCAUGAAAAGGGUUUGGGGAACAAAUGGAGGUCAAAGCCUGAGGACUUGAGAGAACCUACCAGAAAACCUUAGUGGUUCCUUUCCAUUCCUCUCCACAGCUCAGAUCCUGCCUGCCCUUUAAGGCCCAUCCAAAUAAACUAUCCAAAAAAGCCUCCAGUCAAGUCAGCACACACCAGUGUUUUUCCUAUUUCCAAACCCCUCUCCAGAGGAAAGGUGGUAUCAUGGGAUAUAUCACCUGGACUCUGUGGGCUCUGAGUGGACACUUUCUGGACCAAUGCAGCCAGAUUUACAUUAGUGCCCAGCUUAGGACUGCUCAGGGUUCCCACCCACUCAGUGGCUCAGCCCCUUGAAGAUUCCUCUUUCCCCAGGUAUUGGGAAUGCAGUGAAGAGCAGUGGCUAAGCACAAGGCCAUUGGAGCUGGAGUUCUGUGAGAUCCCGAGCAAGUUCUCAGCUUUCUCUGAGUCUUAUGUUUCCUCUGUAUCUAGUUCCUCAUUUGUAAACCGGUCUUAAUACUUGUGGUGAGAAUUAAAUGAGAGAAUUCAUGUAGUGCACUUCACACCAAAAAAACUUAGUGGUUUUGUUUUUCAAAGUGGACUUCAGAUUCUUUGACCCAUUUCCCAUCAAGAGGUCGUGCUCUGUGUCACCUCUCCUUGAAUCUGACCUCUGAAACUGCCUGACCAGUAGAACAGAGGUAAGAGAUGCCACACCAGUUUCUGGCUCCAAGCUUUCAGACACUGUCAGCUUCCAGGUCCUGCCUUGCUCUGCAACCUAGACACACUGCAAGGGAACCUGGUCACACAGAGAGAUGUGUUUGGGCAGAAAGCCCCAGCUAGGUAUAAGCCAACAGUCAGCAUAAAGGGCUUUAAGAUGACUCCAGCUGCUACCAGAUGGGGGCUGCCAUGUGACUGUGACCACGGAAAUCAGAGAUCCGAAGCUCUGAGCAAGAACCACCUCACUGAUCCUUGUCAACCCCAGAGCCACGAGCAAUAAUAAUAAAAAAAUGAUUGUUGUUGCUGUAAGGCACAGAGUUUUCCAGGGACCUAUUACUUUGCCACAGACACGUGAGGCCUUUCCUCGCCGCUGUAAGGAGGCCUCGUGGUGGCCCGGGAGGUGGGGGGGUCCUGGCCCUCCCGCACCGUUCCUCCCUUGGCAGGUGGACACCAAGUCAUGAUUUUUCACCCCCAGCUGUUACCCACCCCAACAUGCUUUAGGGAUCAGAAUCCAGGUGUAGACUAGAUUCAAAUUUUCUCCCAGAACAAAUUUUGUAGCCCCCAUGAAAAUAAAGCACUGCAUUCAAAGGAUUGUUUGGGAGGGAGGCUAUCGCCCGCCUCUGAGACAAGCAGCCUCUUCACCGGCAAGCUGCCUUGCUCUGUUCACCGUAUUUCCCACGGAUCUUAGAUCGUUUUUUCCCCAGAAAGAAUGUAAGAUUUUUGAGGGCAGGGACCCUGUUCUAAUUUUCUUUUUUUAGUAAAUUGUAAUUUUUUGAGAAAACAGUGAUCAUAGCUAAUUAGGCAAGUUGAGUCUGUGAAAAGCCUAGGACCAUGCUGGUAAUCAAAAAGGUCAAAGAGUGAAAAUGUGCCAGUGACAUCUUACUAUGCAGAUGGACAGUGACUGCACUGGGGUGUGGGGGGACUUGAUAAUAAGGGUGAAUGUAGUAACCGCAAUGUUGCUCAUGUGAAACAUUCAUAAGAUUGUGUAUCAAUGACACCUUAAUAAAAAAAAAAGAAAAAUUCA